rnacentral:misc_RNA from 1 species
AACCUAGCACACCUGCGGUGUGUACCUGCGGAAGGAUCAUUACUGAGUGUAAAAACUCCCAAACCCAUUGUGAACAUACCACUGUUGCUUCGGCGGAUACGCCCCGGGCGCGCUCUUCACAGGGCGUGCCCCGGAACCAGGCGCCCGCCGGGGGACCGAAACUCUUGUUUUCUUAGGAUCUCUGAGUGUGAUUAUUAAAUAAAUCAAAACUUUCAACAACGGAUCUCAGAUCGGAAGAGC